AUUCUUUCAAACCCUUCACCCCUUUUCUCCCAAACCCUUAUCCCUCUCCACCCCACUUUCUCUCUCCUCAAAAAUCCCGUUUUCACAGAAACCCCAUCAAUUAAUUCUGAGAAAAAGAGAAUAGUGGGGUGCAAAUCUCAAAAGGGUAUUCAAAACCAUUAAUUAAAAAACCCUAAAAAAAUCCAUGGAUUCAGAUCAAGGAAAGCUAUUUGUUGGUGGGAUUUCAUGGGAAACAACUGAAGAAAAGCUCAAAGAUUAUUUCGGACAAUAUGGUGAUGUUUACCAGGUCAAUAUUAUGAGAGAUAAAGCUACUGGUAGACCUAGAGGCUUUGGGUUUGUUCUUUUCUCAGAUCCUUCUGUUCUCGAUAGGGUUCUUCAGGAUAAACAUACCAUCGAUGGCAGACCUGUUGAGGCUAAGCGAGCAAUGUCGAGAGAGGAGCAGCAGAGCUCUGGAAGAACUGGAAAUAACAAUGGUGGUGGUAGAAGCGGAGGGGGAGGAGGAAACUUCAAAACCAAGAAGAUUUUUGUUGGGGGGUUGCCUCCUACUCUGACUGACGAAGGCUUUCGACAGUAUUUUGAGAACUAUGGUCAAGUAACUGAUGUAGUUAUAAUGUAUGAUCAGAAUACAGAGAGACCCCGAGGUUUUGGAUUCAUUUCUUUUGACAGUGAGGAUGCAGUAGAUAGAGUUUUGCAGAAUAAUUUCCAUGAUUUGAAUGGUAAGCAAGUUGAGGUGAAGCGUGCUUUACCCAAGGAUGCCAACCCUGGUAUGGGUAGUCGCGGCAAUGGUGGUGGUUAUAAUUCUAGUGGCGGUCAAAAUGCUUAUGGUAACAGAAUGGAUUCUAGUAGUUAUAUGCAAUCUCAGAAUGCUGGAGGUGGAUUUCCAGCUGGUUAUGGUUCUUCUGGUUAUGGUGCAGCUGCUUAUGGAUAUGGGCCUGCCAGUGGUGGUAUGGGCUAUGGUGGGUAUGCCGGAUAUGGGGGUGCAAAUCCUGGGUAUGGUGGCCCGGCCAGUGCAGCUGCUUAUGGAAACCCCAACGUUUCCAACGCUCAAAGGAGUUCCUGGAAUGCACAGGCAGCAUCUGGUUAUGGUGCAGCUGGGUAUGGAAGUGCUGGUCCUUGGGCCGCUAGUGGUGCCGGAAGCGGUGGACCAACUGGUCAAUCUCCAAGUGGGGCUUCUGGGUAUGGAAACCAAGGCUAUGGAUAUGGUAGUUAUGGUGGCAGUGACGGUUACGGUAGUGUAGGUAAUCGUGCUGGAGGUGCCCCUGCUAGCAAUGCUGCUGGUGGUGGUGGAGAGAUGCAAGGGGGUUAUGGUGAUGCCAAUGGUCAUGGAGGAUACGGGGCCGGAGGUUAUGGAGCUCAGGCAAACGGACCUCAGAUGGGCUAUGGCGGUGGAUAUGGAGGGGCUCGACAAGCGCAGUAGCAAUAGUCCUUCUCCAAGCCGAGUCAUCACAGACCAUUGAAGUUUGUCCUUCGAAAGUGGCAAAUGGAUAGCCUAUUUCGAUCUCAAGCAUACUAUUAGACUGGAGAGGUGGCCGAGUUUUGAAAUGAGCGGGCUUCACACAGCUAAGCAAGUUUGCCGUGGAAACAUGCAACCGUUUUUACGGCGUUCUGAAUUACAUGGGACUGAUCAACCCAAGCAAGGUCUCCUGGUUCCAAUCCUUGUGUCAAGUUUCAAAAAUGAUCUGCAUCUGGUAUGUUGACUUGUAUUUAGGAUGUUUUCUUCCUCCUUUACACCAGGAAGUAUAUGUUUCUCCUUCUAUUAGGAAAUUGACUAUGAAAGAGUAGCUUGUCGUAUGGAAUAGAUUUGAGGAAUGUUAUGUAUCGCUCCUCGUGGGCCGUUGUGGCUGCUGAAGUAGGGUAGACCUUUAUUUCCUGCCGUAGUAGUCAAUUAGUCUUAUUGCAUUAUAUACUCUGUUCUUUAGGAAUUAAUUGUCAUAUUAUCCCCGUUCCUCAUAAAUAAAGAUCUUAACUUUAUUGUA